AACUUCCCGGGACAUUUCAUCAGUAAGCAAUUUAUUUUUAGUUUUUUACAGUAUACUAUUAUAUUGAUUGAAAUUAGACUUGCAUUAACAUGAUAAACAUCCCUAAGGAUGAAGUACUAUGAAAACAGUUGAUACAAAAUGUUCAUCAAGAAAAGUGGUCACCCAAAAAGCAGAUGUUUAUAUGUUCUGACCACUUCUGUUCUGGUUGCAUUGUCCAUACUGUUCUGUUCUGGCUUCAUUGUCCAUACACAGUCUUUACUGAGCUAGAUCACCAUAUUUUUGACUCACCAGUUGGAAAUCAUGUUAUAUUUCAGUUGACCAAGAGCAUCAUCAAGAGUUACUGUGAGGUUAAAUUUUACCAUCUUGGAAAAAAGACCACUGAGAAUUCAUCUUGACAAAAAAUUAGAAAUUAAAUAAACUUGUACCUUUUAAGCACCAGUGUGAGUGAUUACACAGAAUGUAUCAGAGAAAGCUAAAUAUUACUAAAAUUUACUAUGAAACUGCCCAAGCUGAAAGUGCAGACUCUGUCUCAAACAUAAUUUUACUAAAAUUUACUA